GACGAACGCUGGCGGCGUGCCUAACACAUGCAAGUCGAACGGAGAAUUCAGCAAUGGAUUCUUAGUGGCGAACGGGUGAGUAACGCGUAGACAACCUGCCUUUUAGAUGGGGACAACACUGCGAAAGUGGUGCUAAUACCGAAUGUUGUAACUUUGCUACAUGGUAAAGUUACUAAAGAUGGCCUCUAUAUAAAAGCUAUCACUAAAAGAUGGGUCUGCGUCUGAUUAGCUAGUUGGUGAGGUAAUGGCUCACCAAGGCGACGAUCAGUAGCCGGUCUGAGAGGAUGAACGGCCACACUGGGACUGAGACACGGCCCAGACUCCUACGGGAGGCAGCAGUGGGGAAUCUUCCGCAAUGGACGAAAGUCUGACGGAGCAACGCCGCGUGAGUGAAGAAGGUUUUCGGAUCGUAAAGCUCUGUCUUCAGGGACGAACGUGUAGAUCGUAGAUAAUGAUUUAUAAUGACGGUACCUGAGGAGGAAGCCACGGCUAACUACGUGCCAGCCGCCGCAGUAA
rnacentral:rRNA from 1 species